GUCAGUAACUAUCAAAUAUUUUAACUAUCCACAUCCCUUUAGACAGAAAAUUCAAUAAAAAUAGCAAAAGAAGACGAAAGGCGGCAAAAAAAAAAUGUUUUAAAAAUCCAUGAAAAUCAUAAGUUAAAGUAGGGUUUCCGCCCCAUAUUUCUCUUCAUAUAUUUGGGAAACUCGAAAUUUUUAGUUCAAUAGAAGUCCGUCCGGAUUAUUUUAAUUUUAAUUUAAACAAUAAAAAUAAGGAUUUAUUGUUGGUGUUAUUUCAUCAUUCAGUAUGCAACACCUUGGAAGUAAUAGAGGAUCUUAUUCCCAUUACCAACCGCCGCAUUUUAUACCUCAUUACUAUUUCACCGGACACAGUUUCCCAAAGCCAGGGGUACAUAGCGCGUUUUGCGGAUCACCGACAACUUAUUGCUUAGCCGAUUCUUGCCUUCGAAACCCUUUCGCAACCAACUGCUAUCCGGCAUGCUUUCCACCAGGACGAUAUACAUGUAUUCCAUAUUUAGGUCCACCGAAGUACGGACAUAGAAGAUCAGCUUUUCGGGGAUGCUGCGGCGUAUCUGGUGGAAUAGGGGGCUAUAUUUAACUGGCGAAAAAUCAAUCAAUUGGUAACCAGUCAUAAAAACCGGGUGCCACAUACUAUUAUUAACCUAAAAUUAUCUUUUGUACUUUCACAUCUUAAUCUCAAUAUGCUGGUCAUACAGCUUAAAAAUUGUUUCAUAAAUAUUGCAAAAUUCGUCGUAUUUACUAUGCAA